UGGUAUACCCAAAGUCGGUUUGCUAACCUCGGAGGCGACUGCCUAAGGUAGGACUGGUGACUGGGGUGAAGUCGUAACAAGGUAUCCCUACGAGAACGUGGGGAUGGAUCACCUCCUUUCUACGGAGUACACACUUAGUUAUGGAAAUAAAUUUGUAUCCAGUUUUGAGAGAACUAAUUUCUCUCUUUAGUUCUUUGAAAACUGAAUAACGACAUUGAAAUAUUAAUAUUUCAAAGUUUAGAUCAACCUAUAGAAUAUUUAUUUAUAGAAAGACAAAACAAAACAAUAGGUCAUACAAAACAAAAUUUAACUAUUAAACAAGAUAAGAGUUUUUGGUGGAUGCCUUGGGUCUGGAAGUCGAUGAAGGACGUGCAAACCUGCG
rnacentral:misc_RNA from 1 species